rnacentral:rRNA from 1 species
UACGGGGGGGGCAAGCGUUGUUCGGAAUUACUGGGCGUAAAGGGCGCGUAGGCGGCCUACUAAGUCGGACGUGAAAUCCCUCGGCUCAACCGAGGAACUGCGUCCGAUACUGGCAGGCUGGAAUCCGGGAGAGGGAUGUGGAAUUCCAGGUGUAGCGGUGAAAUUCGUAGAUAUCAAGCGGAACACCGGUGGCGAAGGCGGCCUUCUGGACAGUGACUGACGCUGAGACGCGAAAGCUAGGGGAGCAAACGGG